UGGGGAAUAUUGCGCAAUGGGCGAAAGCCUGACGCAGCGACGCCGCGUGAGCGAAGAAGGCCUUCGGGUUGUAAAGCUCUGUCAGGGGGGAAGAAGGCGCAAGCUGACGGUACCUCCAGAGGAAGCCCCGGCUAACUACGUGCCAGCAGCCGCGGUAAUACGUAGGGGGCGAGCGUUGUCCGGAAUUAUUGGGCGUAAAGAGCACGUAGGCGGCCUGUCAAGUCGGAUGUGAAAACCCGCGGCUCAACUGCGGGACUGCAUUUGAAACUGGCAGGCUAGAGUCCAGUAGAGGAAAGUGGAAUUCCCAGUGUAGCGGUGAAAUGCGCAGAUAUUGGGAAGAACACCGGUGGCGAAGGCGGCUUUCUGGGCUGUGACUGACGCUGAGGUGCGAAAGCUAGGGGAGCAAACAGG
rnacentral:rRNA from 1 species